AUACAGAGGGUGCAAGCGUUAAUCGGAAUGACUGGGCGUAAAGGGUGCGUAGGUGGCGUUAUAAGUCAGUUGUGAAAUCCCCGGGCUUAACCUGGGAACUGCAAUUGAUACUGUGGUGCUAGAGUUUGGGAGAGGAUAGUGGAAUUUCCGGUGUAGCGGUGAAAUGCGUAGAUAUCGGAAGGAACACCAGUGGCGAAGGCGACUAUCUGGCCCAAAACUGACACUGAGGCACGAAAGCGUGGGUAGC
rnacentral:rRNA from 1 species